UUCAUUUAUUGGCCGAUGUCAGGUCUUACGUCUAAAUAUUGGACGACUUAGUCUUCUUUCAAUAUUUGGCAGCUGUCUUAUGGGGCGGUGCCAAAGAAACAAAAGAAGCAAUUUACAUAGACGCGCUUGCUAGUAGAAGCUACUACAAAAGAGGAUAAUCAAGUUAUCUUUGAUGAAAUGUUACAAUAUGAUGCUCCAGAUGAAGAGGAUGCACAUGGUUGCCCCUUGCAUGCGUUCGUUACUUUCGUUCUGGCUACUGGAGGAAUUUUGGUUAUCGGGUCUCUUGCUGGUCUAGCUACACAUAACCUUUCUAUCUCGGCAUAGGUGGAAGUCUAGAAUUCUCCUUACUGAAUUGUGGUUGGAGAUUCACCGGAAUGUAGUUUUUUUUAUAUAUUUGGGUGCCUUUAUACAAGGUAACUUUGCUUCAGAGUAUAUAUCUUACUUCAUUUAAAACAUAUAUGUUAUUUAAAAAGUAUUUAAUUUUUCUUUUAAGAUACAAUUUCUUUUUAUGUUUUCCAAAACAUUUCUCUUAGAACAUGUGUUAAGUUGAUUAGCAAUCUUUGUGAGAAUAUUUGUGAAGUUGACAAUUGGUCUAUACUAUUUUUAUAGUGGUUAUUGGUGACUUGUGGAAACAACAGAAUGUUCAAAUGGAAGACUGCCUAGUGCUUUUAUGAAUUUUUAUGAUAAUGCAUACUACUUAUGCAUUGACAAACCUGAGAGAUGCUGUUUUUUCAGCGUCCUUGAGACUUAUCCCUUUUCUUCAAACAACAGAAGAAAUUAAAAGGAAUUUUGGAGGAAAUAUUUUCUCACUUGUAUCAUUCAACCACUAGAGAGUGGUGAUACUUAAUAAUAUGGCUUCUGAACUCACACUAUCCGGCAAGGACAUUGUGUCAUUAGUCGAGUCGAAUCUUUGAAUCUGUGGUUGAGUUGCACGAUUUCGCUCAUUUAGUCCAUCCAUAUAAGAAAAUUCUACAUGUAUUAUAAAACAGAUCGAACCUCUGUACUAAAACAGAACCAUAUGACUCGGACUCGAAAAAUUCAAUAAAAUCAUCA